rnacentral:rRNA from 1 species
UACAGAGGGUGCGAGCGUUGUCCGGAAUUACUGGGCGUAAAGCGUAUGUAGGCGGAUCGUUAAGUCGGGGGUGAAAUCCCGAGGCUCAACCUCGGAACUGCCUUCGAUACUGGCGAUCUUCGAGUCCGGGAGAGGUGAGUGGAACUCCGAGUGUAGAGGUGAAAUUCGUAGACAUUCGGAAGAACACCAGUGGCGAAGGCGGCUACCUGGACCGGUUCUGACGCUGAGGCGCGAAAGCGUGGGUAGCAAACAGG